rnacentral:lncRNA from 1 species
GGUUGGGCUCGGUUUCUUCCUGGCAGGAGGGGUUUAUUUCCAGUACCACAGGCAGGGCAUGUAAAUAUUAUUUGUUUCCUCAAUUGGCUGCUGCUCUGCAGAUCUUCUUCCCAGCACGUUGUGUUCAGAGCAUCCCCAGCUGACGUGACCCGCGCAACAGAGCAGCAGUGUUUUUCCUUCUCAGCCCUCCAUUUUCCAUUCUAUUUCAGACCAAACUACCAAAGUCUUUGCACAUAGGAUGGUACCAAAGUGAGCCCAUCCAGAGCGAGUAUUCAAGCCAGCAUGUUCCUCUAUGUGCUCUGGUUUUUAAACCCUGCACUCAAGCCUCAGCCUUUUAACACCAAGAUUUCCCUUUCUGACCUUCAAAUGUUCUCAUCCUCGUAUCCCAUCUCUCAAAAGUAGACAUUUUGCACUCAGUUGUAGUUGUUUCCUGGCCUUUGGGUCCGAAGGUUAGACAUUCAUCACUUGAAUUUGUUAUCAACAGCACAUUAUCAACAUCUUUCCAUGUGCCAGGAAAGUGCUACCGGGAACUGGCAGAGCCUUGACCUCUGCAGGAGCAGAUGGCAGCAAGAUUCGCAGUGUGUGAUGGGGAAAAUCCCCUCCUCAUCUUUGUUCUUCUUUGAGCUUUCUGUGUUCUCACCUGAGAUGAUUAUGUACCUCUCUACUUCACCUUUGCGCUGUUGAAAUAACUGUGGCCCCUUGAGGCUGUCUUGCCAUUCUCAGAGAACAAAAAACUUCAUACAACACGUUGAGGAAUAUUUUUCAGGGGUUAUUUAUGAGACAUUUUCCUUGGGUCACCAUCAUAUUUGCAGGAGACAUGAAGUGUAUGUAUAUAAUGUAUAUAAACAUGUAUAUAAUGAAGUUAUACUUCAUUUAGUAGUCAGUUAUAGCAGGCAAGAGGAAGAUCCUCAUUGGUAAUGCAGAUGGCGUCAUUUAUUCCAUGCACUUAAAACUAGUGACCCCAGGCACCACGUACUCCUAUUUGCUACCUAUACAAGCAGGAACAAAUAGCACGUGAGCAAGGAAUUGCAGUCCAGCUGAUCUAACACAGGCUUUGCCUUUCAGUUACUUCUAUUACCCAGAACAGGAAUUAAACUGUGAGCUCUGAGUGGAAAACACCCAAAGCCUUUUCACCCCUGUUUGUUAUACGUUAUCCAAGGUGCUUUAACUGUAUUUUAGAAACCUAUCAUUUCCUCUUGCUUGAAAAAGCAGCUGAAUCAUGCUGCAACUUGAAGAUAGUUUCUUCCUCCUUCAGCUGGUUAGGGAGCAGUCCCGUUAACGAAGGAACAGAGAUGGCCAGAGGUGAUGAUUUCAACCAACUUCACUUAGCUCUUCCUGUUGCAAACUGAUUGAGCAGGUUCCCCUUACCAGUAUAAUUCCACUUACCAGGUUAGGUGUAACUGGACACAUCAGGCUGGUUCCAGUGCCUGCUUCCUCCUGUAAUAAGGUCUAUCUCAAUCAACAUAUUGAACCUAAAAAUCUAUCUGCCAUUGUCGUGGUUUGAGCCCAGCCGGUAACUCAGAACCACACAGCCGCUCGCUCACUCCCCCCCCCCCCCUUCUUCCUCCCCCCCGCUCCAGGAGGGAUGGGGAGGAGAAUGGGAAGAAUGUAACUCCCACGGGUUGAGAUAAGAGCAGUCCCGCAACUAAGGUAUAACACAAAACCACUACUGCUACCACCAAUGAUAAUAACGAUUAGUGAAAUAACAAGGGGAGAGGAUACAAUUGCUCACCACCCGCCGACCGAUACCCAGCCCGACCCGAGCAGUGAUCUGGGCCUUCCGGGUAACUCCCCCCGGUUUAUAUACUGGGCAUGACGUGCUGUGGUAUGGAAUACCCCUUUGGCUAGUUUGGGUCAGGUGUCCUGUCUCUGCUUCCUCC